AUGGCGGCUUCGUUGGGACUGAACCCUGAAGGUGUAUUCAGCUCCGCCUUCGCCCACUCCUCACCUUUCCUGGGCGAUCACUACGCACCGCCUGCCCGCGCCUUCAUCGACGACAGUGAUUACGCGGCUCAGCUCCACCUCCACGACGAUCAUCAGCACUACCCUUUCGAUCAAUUCGAGUACUCGCCGCCGAUGGCACAGGUCUCUUUCGCCGGCGCCGGGGAUGACAAACAUCGCAGCGAGAAGACGAUCAAAAUCAGUGCGAGGGUGAGCGCAGGGAGGAUCGGGUUCAGGACGAGGUCAGAGGUGGAAAUCUUGGACGACGGGUUCAAGUGGAGGAAGUACGGGAAGAAGGCGGUGAAGAACAGCCCGAACCCGAGGAACUACUACCGGUGCUCGGCGGAGGGCUGCGGCAUCAAGAAGCGCGUGGAGAGGGACCGCGACGACCCCCGCUACGUCGUCACCACCUACAACGGCGUCCACAACCACGCAACGCCCGGCGCCGCCGCACAGUACUACUGCUACAGCCCCCCGCGCAGCUCGCCGCCGACAGCGUAUUCCGCCGCUGGCCUACUGCAAUUCUGA
rnacentral:rRNA from 1 species